rnacentral:rRNA from 1 species
CCUACGGGAGGCAGCAGUAAGGAAUAUUGGUCAAUGGGCGCAAGCCUGAACCAGCCAUGCCGCGUGCAGGAUGACGGCCCUCUGGGUUGUAAACUGCUUUUAUACGGGAAGAACAGCAUCUACGUGUAGGUGUUUGACGGUACUGUAAGAAUAAGGACCGGCUAACUUCGUGCCAGCAGCCGCGGUAAUACGAAGGGUCCAAGCGUUAUCCGGAUUUAUUGGGUUUAAAGGGUGCGUAGGCGGCUUUUUAAGUCAGUGGUGAAAGCCUGAUGCUCAACAUCAGAACUGCCAUUGAUACUGAAGAGCUUGAGUACAGUUGAGGUUGGCGGAAUGUGUCAUGUAGCGGUGAAAUGCUUAGAUAUGACACAGAACACCGAUUGCGAAGGCAGCUAGCUAAGCUGUUACUGACGCUGAUGCACGAAAGCGUGGGGAGCAAACAGGAUUAGAUACCCUGGUAGUCCACGCCCUAAACGUUGAUAACUCGUUGUUAGCGAUAUACUGUUAGCGACCAAGCGAAAGCAUUAAGUUAUCCAACCUGGGAAAGUUCGGUUCGCAAGAUUGAAACUUAAGGAAUUGACGGNGUUGAGAGNGCGAGACGACGACGAGGAGGAGG